UCUCCCAGUCUGGAGUGCAAUGGCGUGAUCUCGGUUCACUGCAACCUCUGCCUCCCAGGUUCAAGUGAUUCUCCUGCCUCAGCCUCCCAAGUAGCUGGGAUUACAGGAGUUUGAGACCAGCCUGGCUAACAUGGUGAAACCCCGUCGCUACUAAAAAUACAAAAAUUAGCCAGGCAUGGUGGCACAUGCUUGUAAACCCAGUUACUUGGGAGGCUGAGGCAGGAAAAUCACUUGAACCUGGGAGGCAGAGGGUGCAGUGAGCAGAGAUCACGCCACUGCAUUCCAGUCUGGGUGAUGGAGCAAGGCUCUAUCUCAAAAAAAAAAAAAAAAAAAAGUUGACUUUAACUCAGAAAUGCAAAAUUAGUUUAAUCUUAGAAAAUCAAUCACUGUAAUUUGCCACAUUAACAGAAGAGAAAAACUAUGUAAGCAUUUCAGUAGAUGCAGAGAAAGUAUUUGACAUAAUCCAUGCCCAUUUGUGAGAAAGACUAUGAACAAAUUAGGAAUAGAAGAGAACUUGAUAAAAAGUUAUCCAUGAAAAACCUAUAACUAACAUAAUAUUAAAUAUUCAAAAUGUUAAAUGCUUUUCUUGUAAGAUCAGAUGAGAAGCAAGACGAGGAUGUCUACCACUUCAUUUAACAUCUUAUAGAAAAUUCUAG
rnacentral:lncRNA from 10 species